rnacentral:rRNA from 1 species
AUGUACUCAGGAAUCAAGGAUUCCACUCGGAUCCACCCGGAGGAUGUCAGUGAGGACACGGUGGAGCAGUGGCUGAGAGGCAUUACUGGCAACAAGGAUAACCCCCGGGGGUCUAGGAGGGUGGUUCCAUUCGACCAUUUACACCAGUCGGAACAUGCCCUUAUUGAUAUGUAUUCAAUGCCCAACAGAGAGCAGGAGCAAGAUCCUGAGGGGAAGGCGAGCGGAGGCGAGAGUGGCGAGUGGCACUCGGAUGAAGAGGAGGAUGAGGAGAGCGACGACCCGAGUGAUGAAGAAGAAGUCGACUCGCCUCCUCACAGAGAAAGGAGGUCCAAGCACACUCACGACCCGGCAAGCACCCCCGACCUGGUGGUCGCACCAACUGGGCAGUCUUCAAAGCGCCCUCGGACGUCUUCUCCAGUGCCGACCGAGAAGGCACCGAAGCAGCCCAAGACUGCGCCGCCUCCAGUGCCAAAACCACCGAAGGCCGCAGAUUCCAAACCACCGAAGGCUUUACCCAAAAUCAAAAUGGAAACAGAACGU